AUGCCAACCUUAGAUGACAUUUUAGAGAGUGUUGGAGAAUUUGACAGGUUCCAGAAGCAACUCUUCUUUGUCCUGUGUUUGCUUUCUGCUGCCUUCACCCCGGUGUAUGUGGGUGUCGUCUUCUUCGGGUUCACCCCCGAGCACCAUUGCCGCAGCCCCGGCAUGGCAGAGCUGAGCCAGCAGUGUGGCUGGAGCCUGGAGGAGCAGCUGAAUCACACGGUUCCCGAGUGGGGCAGCCAUGGGGCCAGUUUCAGCAGCCGCUGCAGGAGGUACAAAGUGGACUGGAACACCACGGGCAUCAGCUGCACCGACCCCCUCGGCAGCAUCGUGGGCAACCGGAGCACCGUCCCCCUCGGUCCCUGCCAGGACGGCUGGGUCUAUGAUAGCCCGGGAACCUCUAUUGUGACAGAG